rnacentral:rRNA from 1 species
CGACGUUGGCUACUAUGCCAGCUGGUGGAUUGCUCGGCUCAGGCGCUGAUGAAGGACGUGCCAAGCUGCGAUAAGCUGUGGGGAGCCGCACGGAGGCGAAGAACCACAGAUUUCCGAAUGAGAAUCUCUCUAACAAUUGCUUCGCGCAAUGAGGAACCCCGAGAACUGAAACAUCUUAGUAUCGGGAGGAACAGAAAACGCAACGUGAUGUCGUCAGUAACCGCGAGUGAACGCGAUACAGCCCAAACCGAAGCCCUCACGGGCAAUGUGGUGUCAGGGCUACCUCUCAUCAGCCGACCGUCUCGACGAAGUCUCUUGGAACAGAGCGUGAUACAGGGUGACAACCCCGUACUCGAGACCAGUACGCUGUGCGGUAGUGCCAGAGUAGCGGGGGUUGGAUAUCCCUCGCGAAUAACGCAGGCAUCGACUGCGAAGGCUAAACACAACCUGAGACCGAUAGUGAACAAGUAGUGUGAACGAAC